CCGAAUCUCAUCCUCCUCCCCCUGAUGUUAUCCUGAACCCCGUGGGAGAAGCGGCAGCCACAGAACAGCCCUGCCUCUCAACCCCAUUCACUCUCCGCCGGACGACGGCGGCGCCGGUGCUGUGCCGCGAGAUGUCCAACAAUGGUGUUGACUGCAAUGGAAUCCUUGGUGUUUACUGCUUCUCUCCAACCUGUGGAAUCGCAGGACUCCAUGAGUGUCGUCAAUGGCCAGAUGGGCGACGGCGGCGCGACCGCACAUCCACGAUGCGUGUUCAUGCGGCGGUGCUGAUUGGUGUUGUCCUACCGGUGAAGUCGCAGGAUUCCAUGGCAUCUCAGAUGACCAGAUGGGCCGCGGUGGCGAGGGCAUAGAGAUGUAUGGGAACACCGGCUUUGCGGCGUGAUCAGAAGCUAUAAGUGGCUGGACAAGGAGAGUGAAGUUUCAUUGAGAGCUAACCUGCCAAUCGAGAGGCAUGCCAAUAAUGUUUACAUCCGGGCGACUUUUGAUCAAUUUAGCUUAGUUAUGUACAUAGCUGGUGCAUAUGUGCUGGACGAACUAGAACUGAACAUAUGUUAGCAUUUGGAUUUUACAGUGUCCAAUUGCUAGUAAUGUACAUAUUUGCUGCAGGUUAAUUAGUUGGUCUAUAGUACGCGGUGGUAACUUGGUUAUCUGCCGCUGACUAAUUAUCUGAUUUGGUUAAUUAGUUGGUCUAUAGUUGGUCUAUAGUGCAUAUCUAUUUCUUUUCAUCUGAUUUGUUUCUAUGCCCUUGGCACGACACUGAACAUCUUUGGGGAGUAAUUUGUUUAGUAUGAGGGACACUUUAGACUGCAGAUUGGUUUUUGGGGAGGCAGGCGAUGAUUAGCCAAACGAAGUGUGAUUUGUGAUGGUAGAAUAAAUUUUUGGGGAGACACUUGUGGUUUUGGGGAUACAGUCAAUGGCAAUGGUGGACUGAACUUUCUGAACAUAUUGUUCACCAGGUUGUUAUUCAAUUUUCAUUUAGUGUUAGUGUGAUUUUAAUCAUGUCCCAAGGUGAUACCAAUUGGACUUUAGCGUAGUGCAGAUGCGGAAGUUGCCAUCUGGGAAUGCAGAUUACGAGAUGAAUGCUAGCCUGCAUUUUGGUUUUGGGAGACAGUAAAUAGUUAGCCAAACUAGUGUAUUUUUCCUGUGAUUUUAAUUUGUCGUUUUGUCUCUCUUAAGACUGGAAAUUCCCCUGUAACUUGAUUAAGAUCCAUUGGAGGAUAUUUUGGGACUAGGGGAUGAAUUGACUUUUAUAUCUGUGGGAGAAAAAUGUUAGCUUUGAUGUGUACUGCUUAAUAUUAAUUUGUUCAAACUGGGACACUUGGUCAUGGAUUUGCCUUUGCUAGGAUCAGAAUGUAUGAGUAUGACCCUUGUUGUAGGAUCUGAUGCAUGCGAUCUGGUGUUAUUUAGGAUUCCAUAUCUUGCAGCACGGUUAUUUCCUUUCACUUGGAUUCACACCAUAGUUCUACAAAUGUUGCAGGAUUAGGAUACGGAGGAGAGGGAGAUCCCAACUGCUCUAGAGCAUAUCCAGAGAAGAGUGAUGGGCCAGUUGUGGAUCCCUGAAUGUUGUUCUGUACUAUUGUUGUGAACUGUCAAUGGUGGUGUGUGUGGAUUUGUCCUAGCUCAACAAUCUCUGUCGUGUGGAUUUGUUGUAGCUCAGCAAAUGCUUGUUUGGUGGCUAAUAUAAUUAGUUGCAGUCAUUGUUUUCCAUGUACGUAGAUUGCGUGUUGUGACUCUUAUUUGCAUGGAUUGUGUUUUAUUUCUUUAGAACUUUUUUAUUUUCUUAAACUUGAAUUCAGAAGUGUUGCAUUCCCAUCA